rnacentral:rRNA from 1 species
AGUGAGCGCUGGCGGUAGGCCUAACACAUGCAAGUCGAACGGCAGCACAGUAAGAGCUUGCUCUUACGGGUGGCGAGUGGCGGACGGGUGAGGAAUACAUCGGAAUCUACUUUUUCGUGGGGGAUAACGUAGGGACACUUACGCUAAUACCGCAUACGACCUACGGGUGAAAGCAGGGGAUCUUCGGACCUUGCGCGAUUGAAUGAGCCGAUGUCGGAUUAGCUAGUUGGCGGGGUAAAGGCCCACCAAGGCGACGAUCCGUAGCUGGUCUGAGAGGAUGAUCAGCCACACUGGAACUGAGACACGGUCCAGACUCCUACGGGAGGCAGCAGUGGGGAAUAUUGGACAAUGGGCGCAAGCCUGAUCCAGCCAUACCGCGUGGGUGAAGAAGGCCUUCGGGUUGUAAAGCCCUUUUGUUGGGAAAGAAAAGCAGCAGGUUAAUACCCCGCUGUUCUGACGGUACCCAAAGAAUAAGCACCGGCUAACUUCGUG